rnacentral:rRNA from 1 species
GAUGAACGCUGACAGAAUGCUUAACACAUGCAAGUCGAUUCAAUUUACCUUCGGGUAAUGAGGAUGGCGGACGGGUGAGUAACGCGUAAGGAACUUGCCUCUUGGUCUGGGACAACUGUUGGAAACGACAGCUAAUACCGGAUAUUAUGCGAUUCUCGCAUGGGAAACUUAUGAAAGCUAUAUGCGCCAAGAGAGCGCCUUGCGUUCCAUUAGCUAGUUGGUGGGGUAACGGCCCACCAAGGCGACGAUGGAUAGCCGGCCUGAGAGGGUGAACGGCCACAAGGGGACUGAGACACGGCCCUUACUCCUACGGGAGGCAGCAGUGGGGAAUAUUGGACAAUGGGCCACAAGCCUGAUCCAGCAAUUCUGUGUGCACGAUGAAGGUCUUCGGAUUGUAAAGUGCUUUCAGUUGGGAAGAAGAAAGUGACGGUACCAACAGAAGAAGCGACGGCUAAAUACGUGCCAGCAGCCGCGGUAA